rnacentral:lncRNA from 10 species
AGUAAAGAAGCGAAGCUAAGCGGCGCUGGUGAAGCGGCUCAUCAGGUCUAUCAGGAAACCUGAGAAUUGGAGUGAGAAUCCCAGUGUGGAAAAUCAGGAAAGAGGCUGGUAUGAGCGACAGAGAAGUCAUUCAGGAAAGAGGUUAUUGAAUUCAUUGGAGAAUGAAUGCUGUUCUGAAUUUGUAUCCUAAGGGAAAUACCACAAAAUGUCUCAGAAAAUGUUGGUUGGAUAUCUAAAGUUUAAAAAGGAAGAGAACCACACCAGCUGGAGAUUAAAGAAGCAUCAGUAGAAGUCAGUGGCCAUUAAUAGAAAUAUUUUUAAAAUAAGUCAAGUAGUAUUUUUGUAGCUCCCUCCCUAACCUUUCUUUUCCACUAUUUGACCAAACCCUACAACAAUAAGAAGUAACAGCUGGGCACAGUGGCUCACGCCUGUAAUCCCAGCACUUUUGGUGGCUGAGGUGAGCAGAUCACUUGAGGUCAGGAGUUCCAGACCAACUUGGCCAAUAUAGUGAAACCCUGUCUGUAAUAAAAAUACAAAAAUUAGCCGGGCAUGGUGGCUUGGCCUGUAGUCUCAGCUACUUGGGAGGCUGAGGCAGGAGAAUCGCUUGAACCCAGGAGGUGGAGGUUGCAGUGAGCCAAGAUCACACUACUGCACUCCAGCCUGGGCAGCAGAGCGAGACUCUCACAAAAAAAAAAAAAAAAGAAGAAGAAGAAGAAGAAGAAGUAAGGACACACCUGUCUUUAGCCGGUCUUUAGUUUGUUUUAAAACAAUUGCUUAAAAUUAGUAAUUACCAGGAUAGUUAGUAACACUCAUCGCAGUGAAGCAAAUCAUGCCCAGUGUGAAGCAAAGAUAUGGCCAGGCUCUCUCUUUCCUUCUUCAGUGAAGGCAGAAAACUAAAGAAAGCCUUGCUACUAAGGGAUAGGGGCUGUGUCUGUGUCGUGCUCAGAAUCACUCUCAGUGUCUGCUCUAAAGGCUGAUGACAACCAAUUUAAAUCAAGUUCAAGUCCCCUUCAGCCUUAGAAGAAAUAGCUCCUCAAGUUAUUGAAAGAGCCCAGAAUUCCUUGCAACUCAUUCUUUAUUAUAGAAUUAUGAGUUCUAGAGUUUGUAGAUUUUCUUUUUGUACUACAUGAAGCGCAUUACAAGAAAGUAUCUUGUAGCUUUCAUUUUGGGAGAAAAUAGAUGUAGUCCUCAGAGGUAUUCUGAAUCCAUUCUUGUCACUCACAGAAGUUUCUUCACAGGAGAUCUCCAUGACUCUUUACGUUUCAAGGUAUUAAUUUUACUUGGAGCAUUGUUUGUCCCACCCAAAGAGUUUUACGUUAAAAUACAUUAUUUUAUUUAUUUAGAGAGAGGAUCUCACUUUGUCACCAAGGCUGGAGUGCAGUGGCACAGUCAUGGCUCACUGCAGCCUCAACUUCCUGGGCUCAAGUGAUUCUCUUGCCUCAGCCUCUCAAAUAGCUGGGACUACAGGCACAGAACCAUGCCUCGCUAAUCUUAUUUCUUGUAGAGAUGAGGUCUCAUUAUAUUGCCCAGGCUGGUCUCAAACUCCUGGGCUCAAGUGAUCCUCCCACCCUGGCCUUCCAAAAUGUUGAGAUCACAAGUGUGAGCCACUGCGCUGGCCUAAAAUACAGUUUAAUAGAGUUUUUCCUAACAAGCACCAUUGGCCGCAACUGAAGUCAGCAUUUUAACAUUGUCACGUGACAGUCAGUUCUAGCUUUGAUAUAAAAGUCCUAAAGUGUACUCUUAGCAUCACUUUCCAGAAAAAAAAAAAAAAACCCACUGCCGUGCUGCAAGGGACCAUUGACAGAAAUGGUGAUUACAGUGCCUGUCCCUACAGGUCUGUCAGCAAGAUAAAAUAAGAAAAUCUGAGAGAAGUUGCCUGGCAUGGUGUCAGUACUCUUGGCAUACCAGCAAAAAUAUGUAGCGAAACUCAGGGCCCAUCCCAGCCUGCUUCUCCCAAAAACCUCUAAAUGGAAUAAUCUUUAGUUCUGUGUCAAAUUCCUAUUUUUCUUCCUCCUUCUUUAUACAGUAUCUUAAGGGAAAUACUACAAAAUGUCGCAGAAGGUGCUGGAUGGAUAUCUAAAGUUCAAAAAGGAAGAGAACCACACGAGCUGGAGAUUCAGGAAGCAUCAGUAGAAGUCAAUGGCCAUUAAUAAAAACAUUUUUUAUUAAAAUAUUGAAUCUGAAUAGAAACCUCCUGUACUUCAUUUCUUAAAUCCCUUGAGGGUAGUAACUGCAUCUUCUCCAUUGAUAUAGCCCCUGCCAAGCACAGUGCCUGAAGGCAGGUCCACAGACAUUGGCUGAAUAAACGAGUGCUCUGUUCCCAGUCCGUACUUUCUCUGUGUCAUAAAAAAGCUGACAUGUCUGUGCUGCAUUUGAGGAUGACACUGGAUUUCCACAUUGCCUUUUCGCCUCAGAGCUUAUAUUACUUCCUAUCAAGUUAUCUCUCUGCCCCUCAUCGCAUCCCAGUGAGAAAGCAGAAAAUCCUAGAAAGUCAUUUUCCUUACUGUUCCGGUGGUGGCUCUUCACGCUUACAGAACGUUAGGUACACUGGGAACAUCACCUAGAGGGACACUGACAUCACCUCAUCAUAACAUAUGUCUCUGACAACUGUCAGGAGAUAUUCCAAGUAAAUGAAAAGACACCGUGAAUGCCACUUAGGGGUUCUACACAGGGAACUAUUAGUGACAAAAGCCUAUUUAUUCUCUUUGAGAUGGUAUGCUGGUGACCUCUAGUGGCAAAAUUGGUUCAAAAUCAGCUUCUAUUUCCCACAAAAUUUACUUCUUUAUUAAUUCAUACUUUAAUUUUAUCCUUUAGUAACAUUCUCUACUUGUGGAAUGUUCUUAAUUAUGCACAAUGAUUUGUGUCUGUUCAUAUCCAAGUAGCACAAUUUUGGCAUUUCACGAAAUCACAGAACUGUUGAGCUGAAAUAGUUCUCAAGGGACCUGUCAGUCUUAUUUCAUUAUACCUGGAAAAUGAGACCCAGAGGAGUCAAGUGGCUUGCCUGAAGCCUCACCACAAGGGGGCGACAAAAAGUCUUCUGACUCUAGCACACUGCCUGCCUGGUAGUAGAACCCAAGCGACUAAAGAAAAAAUGGGAUCUUGUUUAGAGUUCCAUGCGGAGGAAGAGCAUGUAUGCUGUCCUAUCCCUCACUAUUGUAUCCUGGGUGUGUGAGGAGCCUUUAAUUCACAGGUCUUUAGAGAGAGUACAAAGCAUCUGAAGGACCAUCCCUGAGGAGCCUCACUCAUAUCUGCAUGGGCAUCUUUAGAUCCCACGUCUCCAGCCUGAGUCUGAUGUCAUAUUGAAUGAGACUUCUGGGGCGUCUUGAGAGAGUAAAUGUAUUUUGCAUUUGGAAGGAUGUAAAUUUAGAAGGAUAUAAAUAAUCUGUGUCCAGAGGACCAGCUGUGGUGAUUUUUUAAAUGGUCACAAAUCCCUUGACAUGCCCUCACAGACAUCCUCUCCUACGUUCCUUCCCCUUGAAGCUGAACAGGCUUGGGACUGCUUCCACCCAGAGAGUGUAAUGGAAGUGACGCUGUGUGACUUCUAAGAAUCAAUCAUAAAAAGUACACACAACCUUCCUUGUUGGUCUUAGAACAUUUACUCUAGGGAAAACUAGCCACCAAGAAGAAAUACAAUUCCCCCCAAACCACUAUACUGAAGAGACCAUAUGUAGGUGCUCAAAAUGACAGCUCCAGCUCAGCUCCCAGCCAGCAGCCAGCUUCCACCGUGGCUGUGUGAGUGAGCCACCUUGGAUACACAGCCUGUCUAACUUCAGAUGACCGCAGCCCCCACCCACAUCUGACUGUAGCUGCAGGAGAGACCCCUAAGGGAGAACUGCUCAGCUAAGCCCUUCCUGAAUCACUCAGCCACAAAAUAGUGAGCAAAAUGAAACGCUGUCGCUCUACAACACAAACUUGUGGGUAAAUUGUUACACAGCCAUAAUAUACAGAACAAAUAGUUUCUUAAAGACAUUUCUCUCAUUCUGUAACAAACACUGAAUGAAAAUGCAAAAUAUGUUAUAUACAUGUUAAAUCCUGGUGGAAUUGCACUUAAUCUGUUCAACUUUCAUAAAUCAAAGAGUUCUUGGUCCAAAUGAAUAGGUAUUCUAGGUGACAGAAAUAUAAGUUCUUCCUCUUUCUUGAAAUGGUGAUUCCAUUUAAUAGAAUGGUGAUUAAAAUGGAAUGGUGAUUCUAUUUUAAGAAGGCUAAGUAAAUUUUAUGCAGUUUUCCAAAGGGAAUUUUCUAUUUCAGAAUCCUAGCCUUUCUCAACCAGGUUUCCCCAAAUGAACCACAAAACACAGAAAAGGA